rnacentral:lncRNA from 1 species
GACGCACGUGAAGAGGCUGCAUGGUGAGAUGCAAACCUCUCUGGAUGAAAGGGCAGCUGGCACGCCAGGCUGGCGGCGGUUUUUUUGCCAUCUCCUCCUUCUUUAUUCUGCUGCGAUUUGGAAAGCUUGCAGAACGUGACGAGGGAGCACCCUUGUGGUAUGCAGAGGGGGAAGAGAGCAGCAAAAUCUUCCAUCAGGUGAUUCAAGUGCACGCCUGAGUUCUGAUGAUGGGAGCCUGGUCUCAGAAACCAAGACAGAGAUGUGGGCUUGCAGCCCCACUGGCUCAUGAACCAUCUGAACACUUCUGGGGCCCAGGACUCUCUCUUCAACGGCAGGGAGACGUAGUGACUCCCCGCCUGUUUUCACCACUGGAGGGGCUGGAGAGAAUAAAAACGCUCUGGUUUGAGCGCACCUCAGUCCGGGGCCAUAAACGCUUGUGCUCUGCAUACCGACAACUGCGCAUCAAACAAAGGUGUCCUUACCCUGUGCUACGAGAUAGAAAAACCCCGAAUGGUGGAGAAGAAAGAAGAAGGAAAACUGACAGAAACCUGACGUUUAUUGAGGGACUUCUGGGAUCAUGGACGUUCAGUGUGAAUAGAACUCAUGAUGAGACCAAAGAAGAAGGAGAAGAAAGAGAAGAAGACUGCUUCACGCUCCUACCCACGCACCCAGCUGCACCCAGAGAGCUCACUCCCCUCCACGCCCCCCCGCCUCUCACCCCAGCAGCCUGCACACUGCUCAGCUAUGGGCAAAGGCUUAAUGGAGCUGAGAACCUUCUUUCCCCACUUCCUGUGCAGUCAGCCAGCUGCGACUGGGAAAGGCCCACCACCAACUCCAGGAGCCAGGAGGGUGAUGAAGACUGA